UUUUUUUUUUAAUGUAAUCUUAAAAAAUGUAUUUAUAUUUCUGCCGUUCUGCAUUUCCUUCUCUUCUCUAGGGCCUGAAUUUACUGGAGAGUUUCUGGAUACUGAUUUCCUACAGAAAAGACAAGCUACAUCGUCACGGUGAGUUUUAAGAAUUGGAAGAAUAGCUGAAUCCUACAUCGUUUUUCUCUUUUCGUUUUGGUUCUAAAAACUUCGUGCUGUUACUACCUUAAACCCUAGAAUCUUUGUUUUCGUGUGGCUUUUUUUGUUCUAGAAUUUUCAGUGUUUAAUGGUUGCGGUGGUUAAAAUUGGCUUAAUUUUGAUGAUCUGAAGCUUAUUGGAUAUAUUGACCUGGUUUAUUGAUUGUGGAAUUAUGGUAGUGUUUACUAUGCUUGAGCAAACGAGGGAAUUGGGAUCCUGAAUUUGGCCUGUGAAGUUACCUUCUCGUGUUUUAUUUUUUUGGUGGGUUUCUUAUUGCUGUUCAAAGAAUCAAAAUUCAGAGUCAGAUUGGUAGUGAGGGCUGGUUUUGGUUUUUGUCGGAUUAGCUAGCGCUACGGGAAGCUUCAUUUAUGUUUGAAACUAUCUAAAGUUUUGUCUAUUGGAAGUGAUUAUUGUC
rnacentral:misc_RNA from 1 species